GAACAUGUCCCCUUUCAAAAGAGCUUCUUCCCGGUUUCCAACCGCCCCACCGAACCGGGAUCUACCCCAGCCUCACCCGGAGCUCCCUCUGCCCCCGCCGCCCAGCCCGGCUCCCUUCCGCGGCCCCUUACCCCAGCUCGGAGCCUGAGAUUGUCCCAGCAUGAGUGACAUUGGCUUUCCUAAUGUAAUGACUUAUGAAAGAUAUAAUCAUGUGUUAAAUUGAAUCCUCCGCUUAACUGUUAAUGGUGUGCUCUGGGCACAUUUACGUAUUAGAUGCUAUGGUAACUAAUUACCACUAGAAGAAGGGAUAAUACACUUUCCAGACUUUGACAAAUAAUUAUGAGUGUUCACAUCCCUGCUAGCAGCAGUUGCAGCGGAUCUGCUGGAAUGAGUAAGUGAAUAAAUGAAUGGGCCGGGAGGGAUCCUGAGGCUGUAAGCAAACGGCGAAACAGGUCCUUACCGGAGCGGGACAAAACUUUGGGGAAGUCGCUCUGGGCUGCGCGCCUGCCCCGGCCCCCGCCGCCCUCCCGCUCCGCGGGGUCGCUGCUGCCCGUCGGGGCUCGUCCGGUAUCUGGGAAGGUUCCGGCACUAAAGGAGCCUAUCAGAGGCGUCACUGAGGUUCUCUGUGGAGUAUUGCUCUUGGCUGAGGCAGGCGCCGCAGGGGUUAAGCCGCUUGUGCCCGCCGCUCCGGGGCCAUCCUGUCGGGGCAGGGGCUAAGGUGGAACCCGCUACCGGGAGCGGGAGACGGCGUGGCUGCCCCGGCCCCCCGGCCCGACUCUGGAGCUCCUACCAGCCAAAUACGUCGCAGAAGGGACAUCUGCUAAAUGAGCAAAGAGUUGAAGCCAGCCCCAUUUCCCCGGGGUCACCCAUCAGCUCGGUGUCACCCAGCCCGCCCCCCGCAUAUCCCCGAAGCGCUCCGGAGGGGAAUCUGCUCUGGUUCGGUUGGUUCUCCAGCCUCAGGAAGGGUUAAAUCUUUCCCCAAGCCCCUAGUUGCCCUUGUCCUCUCAACCUGAUUCAGAGACGUGUAAUAAAAUAGGAAGCAAAUUUA